rnacentral:rRNA from 1 species
GACGAACGCUGGCGGCGUGCUUAACACAUGCAAGUCGAACGGAAAGGCCCUGCUUUUGUGGGGUGCUCGAGUGGCGAACGGGUGAGUAACACGUGAGUAACCUGCCCUUGACUUUGGGAUAACUUCAGGAAACUGGGGCUAAUACCGGAUAGGAGCUCCUGCUGCAUGGUGGGGGUUGGAAAGUUUCGGCGGUUGGGGAUGGACUCGCGGCUUAUCAGCUUGUUGGUGGGGUAGUGGCUUACCAAGGCUUUGACGGGUAGCCGGCCUGAGAGGGUGACCGGCCACAUGGGGACGGAGAUACGGCCCAGAUUCUUACGGGAGGCAGCAGUGGGGAAUAUUGAACAAGGGGCGAAGGCCUGAUGCGGAAACGCGGCGGGCGGGAUGACGGCCUUGGGGUGGUAAACCGCUUUGGCCGUGACGAAGCGUGAGUGACGGUAAUGGGUAAAGAAGCACCGGCUAACUACGUG